GACGAACGCUGGCGGCGUGCUUAACACAUGCAAGUCGAACGGUGACCUCGAGAGCUUGCUCUCGGGUGAUCAGUGGCGAACGGGUGAGUAACACGUGAGUAACCUGCCCCAGACUCUGGAAUAACCCCGGGAAACCGGAGCUAAUACCGGAUACGAGACGGAGCCGCAUGGCUACUGUCUGGAAAGUUUUUCGGUCUGGGAUGGACUCGCGGCCUAUCAGCUUGUUGGUGAGGUAACGGCUCACCAAGGCGACGACGGGUAGCCGGCCUGAGAGGGCGACCGGCCACACUGGGACUGAGACACGGCCCAGACUCCUACGGGAGGCAGCAGUGGGGAAUAUUGCACAAUGGGCGAAAGCCUGAUGCAGCGACGCCGCGUGAGGGAUGACGGCCUUCGGGUUGUAAACCUCUUUCAGCAGGGAAGAAGCGAAAGUGACGGUACCUGCAGAAGAAGCACCGGCUAACUACGUGCCAGCCGCCGCCGUAAUAC
rnacentral:rRNA from 1 species